GGAUGAACGCUGGCGGCGUGCUUAACACAUGCAAGUCGAACGGAUCCAUAUUGAAACCUAGUGAUAUAUGGGUUAGUGGCGGACGGGUGAGUAACGCGUGGGUAACCUGCCUUACACAGGGGGAUAACACUUAGAAAUAGGUGCUAAAACCGCAUAAGCGCACAGCUUCGCAUGAAGCGGUGUGAAAAACUCCGGUGGUGUAAGAUGGACCCGCGUCUGAUUAGCUUGUUGGCGGGGUAACGGCCCACCAAGGCGACGAUCAGUAGCCGGCCUGAGAGGGCGGACGGCCACAUUGGGACUGAGACACGGCCCAGACUCCUACGGGAGGCAGCAGUGGGGAAUAUUGCACAAUGGGGGAAACCCUGAUGCAGCGACGCCGCGUGAGUGAAGAAGUAAUUCGUUACGUAAAGCUCUAUCAGCAGGGAAGAAAAUGACGGUACCUGAGUAAGAAGCCCCGGCUAACUACGUGCCAGCAGCCGCGGUAAUACGUAGGGGGCAAGCGUUAUC
rnacentral:rRNA from 1 species